AGGAUCUCAAAUGGUCAGCCCUCGGAAAAUCACUCUGUCAUAAAAGGACAGUUUAAAUCUCAUCAUCCCACCGCAAUGUAGUGACCUCUUUCCACUAUCACAAACGACCAGAUUUCCCCUGCCUCCCAGCUUUUGGCACAUUCAUGUGGGGAUUUUCAUGCUGUUCAUGUUGCUGCUUUCACUGGACAUAUGGGGAGGGGCUGGGGAGUCCGAGGCAUUAUGAUGUUGGAGCCAGUGACACUCUUUCUAGGGGAAAUUGUAGCUGGAGUCUGUCUCUUCUAGAACUAGGGGCAUGUAAUCCUCUGUGUGUGAGCCAGAAGGCAAUGGAAGAUUCAGUGGGGAAGCCUAUGAUGUUUGUAUGAUGUUAGUAACAGGUUUUCCCCAUGGGGCGAAUGUAUAUUGAGUGGUAUUGGUCCCACUGAGCUCAUUAAGACGUCUGCCAUAGAGGAGAUAAAACUUUGUUCAAUCUGAGAAGUCCAGAGGAAAAAAAGUUGACGGGGAGAACCUAGCUUUUUAAACGGUCUGUAAUCCAAGAUGUCUAUAAAGAACUGGGAUAUCAAUAGGAAAUCAUCUUCAUCCAGACUUAUUCCUGAGUGGAAGAACUUGAAGUUCCUCAUAAAUAAGAUCUUGAAGAACAUAAAGACUGAUGAAGAACCAAAGAAUGAUGUGGUUCUACUGAGUGACUGGCCUGAGACUCUAUACCGGGAGUCUCACCAUCGCCAGAACAAGCCUUUUGUCUGCUUCUACUACUCCAUCAAGGUCAACUGUUUUGUCUCCUUAAACUGGAUGGAACCUGGUGGAAAAAUGCAGGCAGUACUUUGGAUACAGAAAAAGGGUACAGAAAUGAAAGGAAUGGUAGAGAAGAUGAGGCUUCGCGUGAUGGAUCAGCUGCCGCCCAUCCAAGCAAUGGUCCACACAGGUUCCUACCACAUGUUAAUUGCUUACUGUGGUGACAUGCGCCUGAGGCUUUUUGGAGAUCACCAUCAAGCGUUCAGAUGUCUGGGUACAGUGCCCUGUCAUUUCUCCACCAGCUGCCUCUUCUAUGAUCCAGCAACUGAGUUGCUGCUAUGUGGUACCCUGGGGGCUGUGGUUACCUGGUUUAUCUUACCAAAUGGCAGGAGCAUCGAGAUGGCUCAAAUAGUCCCUAUGGCUAAUCAUGAGCUUGUACAGGGAUUUUCCCUGAAUGGCCCCCAGGGAUCCCUGUUGGCUCUGUGUGAGGAUACAGUGAGGGUCUUCAUUCACCGGGGUCAGGGCCAGCUGGAAGAAGUGAAGAAGUUCACGCCUGUCGCCAGUGGCUCUUCCAUCACUUGCUCCUUUACUUGUGUCUCUCAGGGCAAUUUCUACGCUGGAAACAGGGCUGGAGAGAUCCACGCUUGGGGUUUAGACCAGGGUAACUUCCUCCACAGCUUUCAAGCCCAUUCCUCAUCAGUGAUAUGUAUCCAUAGCCGGCCAGAGAUCCACACCUUACUAACAGCAGGCAGUGAAGGCACAGUGAGGGAAUGGAAUCUCACUUAUGGGAACUUGCUACGGCAGCUGAAUGUUGACGAGGAUCUUCAGAGACUGCAGUUUAUUGAUAAUACCACUUUUUUCUGCCAGACCACCUACAGUUUUUCAUUGCAUCACCUGCCCUACUUUUAUAGCCUCUUCAAUGUCUGUGGUUCUGCUCCCCAGCAGGUGCAGCGGGUCUGCUGCGGCCAUAACUGGACUCGGAUUCUAUGUGCCACUGAGGAUGGUUUAUUGCGCUUCUUAUCUCCAGUAACAGGGGAUCUCCUGGUUAUCACCUGGCCUCUACUUGUUAUGGAUAAGGCUUUGGCUUGGGCCUAUGACUCAGAGAGAGAGGAGCUCUUUGUGGCAUUAGGCAGUUCAGAGGUGCUGGUGUUUGAUGCAACACGCUCUCCUUGUACAGUCAAGUAUCUUGUGUGCACUUCAGCAGACGGUAAGGAUAGAGUAACAUGCUUGGCUUAUGGGAGGUCCCAUCUGCAAAAAGGCCUAGGAGGAUUGAUGUUCUGUGGGCAUGAGAGUGGCGUUGUGAGAAUCCUUUCCCACUAUAGUCGUGCCCGAAUAGAGAAGACUGUUCACUCUGGGGCAGUAUUGGCAUUGUCCACCCUGGAAGGCCCUCAGGAAAAUGCCUUGCUUUGUUCCUAUGGCAUGGAUAACAUCAUACACUUGACAGAGGCCGUGCUUCAGGUGAACAAGGUAGUCCUUCAGCCUGUCAGCAAAAUCCUCUGUGGAUGCCCCCUAAAACAUGUGAUACUCUUGCCAGGUUCUGUGGGUGCCAUCACUGAAAGCUACUGCUGGCGUCUCUGGCACUAUGAAGGCUCUCUGACAUCUUCAGAAUCAAAACAGAGCUUUGUGUGGAGAGAGACAAAAUGCCUGCAUGCGUGUGACAUCACUUCAUUUGAUGUCUGCCUUCCCCUGAAACUUUUUGUCACAGGUGGCAUUGAUGGCUCAGUCCGGAUCUGGGACUUUCACGGUAGACUUGUAACCGAGUUCGACUCAGCCCUGCAUUUUGGCCCACUCUGCUUUGCCAAUAAUCGAGGUGACCUGUUGUUGACUUUCAACCAGAGUAUCUACAUAGUAUCUUGCUUAAAGCUUCUCCCUCCAGCUCAGCUGGUUCACCUGCGUAUCCUAAAAAAUGCAGAUGAAAUACAAGAAGUCCCUAAACCCUUCCUUCCUAGCUUCUUCUUUAUGUUUGAAACAGUAUUUGUACCCAGAUUUGUCUACCUUGGAAGAGGGCGGCAGGAAUUACAGGGGCUAGAGACCCUUGUCAACAAACGGUUCAUUGCCUUCGACAAUACUGUGCCUCAUGUUGUAGAAGAAGAGAGAAGCGUGUCCCUUGUGAUUCAAAAGACCAAAUUUCCUUUUUUUGAGGCUAAGGAUAUUGAUUUCUCUACUCUUGAUUCCAAGGAUAAUCUUCCCCGACAUGAGGUUCCUGCUCAGUUGCAGCUGGCUGGCUGGGAUGGAUUCAAUGCCUACCAAAUGCUACGGUGCUUCUUUGGUCAAGGGCGGCAAUGGCCCUUUGCUCCUGAUGGCUACAUCCCUAACUCAGUGAUCCGUGCCCGCCUUUGGCCUGAGGGUACCCCAGUCUUCCUAUGCUGUGAUCUGUAUUCAUCCUACCGAGUUAAGGACUGGGACUUGUCAUCUAUGACGCUAGUAGAAGAGAAAAUUUCAAAGAGUCAACAGAAGGAUAAAUCCAAGGAGCGAAAAGGAACCUCCCUUGAUAUGCUUGAAAGCAUGGCAAACCAAAAUUGGAUGAGACGAAAAUAUAGUGGAAGGCUUAUGGAUGAUUUAAUAGAGGCCAUUCUCAACCUCACAAUUUACUGCUCUGUAGAGGAAUACAAGAGAUAUUUUAGGGUACUUAAACGUAUUUUUGCCACUUGCCAGAUACCUUCAGAAUUGGUUUCUAAGACUGCCCAUCGCCUCCUGCAAGAUACAACCCAUUCCAAUCCACAUAUCCGUGAGCUAGCCUGGGAGGUACUAGAUAGGCUAGGCCUCAUGAACCAUCAUUUUGCUAUUCCACUGACUAUGGGAUUGAUGGACAGUGAUGAGAAUGUGCGGGCUAAGGCCUUAUACCUUAUGGUAAGAGUCACAGGCAUCCAAACCAAGACCAGGCUGGUACAACUGCUGAAGAAACAAGAAACUCUCCAGAAAAUGCAGCAAGAAAUUAUUGGGGAAAUCACUCUGGGACAACUGCUGAAUAUUCAAGCUGAAGAUAUACAGUCCCUGCUUAUUCAUGUGGAGCAGCAGCUAAAUGAAAACUUGACCUUGUUACAAAGAGAAAAGUCAUUUACUUUUUCUUUUGAUAUACCAUGGUCUGAAGAACUUAAAGUCUUUUCUAAAGACAUGCUCGUACCUUUGUCAGAACCUGUAAAGAUCACCAAACCAAAGAAAAGAAAGAGACAUUUUCAAGAAAGAAGCAGAAAGCUUAUUAAAAAGGACCUGAGAGUUGCCAGGAAGCACAGAAAGACAAAGUUGGGAAAGUCUAGUUCCAUGUUGAUGCCUUCAGAAGAUGCAGGUGAACAAAGAGAGGCCAGGAAAUCAGAGCAAGUUGAAACCCAACAUGUUACCUUAGAGCCAGAGCUACCACUGAGUUCUUUAAGCACAGUCAAAUCCCAGGAUUAUGCUGAAACAGAGAAGGAGGUCAUUUUACAAGUUAUAGAGGCCAUGGAGGCCACAGAAGCCCUGGAGGCCACAGACACCAUGGAAGCCAUAGAUCAAGGUAGCAUGAAAGAUUAUGGAGACGUGAUCUCUAAGUUGGAAAGAAAAGAACACAUUAAAAGGCUUUGGAAAAAGGCAAUGAGAAAAACCCACAGAAUAGCAGAUGUGCAGUGGAAAGAGAAACAAGAUUUGAAGGAUAUUUCAGAGGUGACUACAGAAAAACCUAAGGAAGAUGUCAUAAAAAUUGGUGAGCAAGAAGAAGGUAAAUGGAAGAAAAGUGAAAAGAAGAAGACCCGGGGUUUGGCUGGGACCCCUGGACAUGCAGGUAGACCAGACACCAGAUCUUGGAGGGAUGACAUUUGCUCUCUUGUCACUUCAAGGAUAGCAAGUUCCCAUCCAGGAAUGUUAAGGGAUCUGGGCAAAGAAUUGGUAGGCCUGGCUGGGGUGAUACUUGCUGACCGACAGCCCAGCUGGAAUCUCUUCCAAGAGAUAUGCCCCCUUUUAAAGGAUUCAAGCUCAGUCUCAUUAGAAUUAGAUGACAGAAUAUUGGAAGAAACACCCACCAUAACAAAACAAGUCAUUAAAGGGGGCGUCAAGGACAAAAGGACAGGAGUAUUGACAGAACAAGAGGAUAAAAAAGCAUUAAAGGAAGAUGAGAAGUUUUCUCAAGAAGAAAAGAAAAAGAAAGCUGUUUUCCCAGCAGAUCGCUUAGUCUUAGAGAAAAGGAAAUUUAAAAGAAAAAUGGGGAAACUGGCCAAGCAAGAAAGGAAAAUAGCUAAGGAAGAAAGGAAACCGACAAAGCCAGAGGAAAAAAUGCAGAGAAAGGAGAAACCAACCAAAGAUAAAAAGAAACUGACCCAUCCAGAAGAAAAAAUGGCCAAGGAAGAAGAAAUACUUGCUUCCCCACAAAAGGAAUUAAUUAUGGAAGAUCAGAAGUUAGUCCUAGAGGAAAAAAGACUAACUGGAAAAAGGGGACAACUACUAGGGAAAGGAAAGAAAGUGAUCAGGAAAAAGAAGCCAAUACUGAAAAGGGAAAGGUUGGAAUGGGAAAAGAUGCAGGCCCAGGAGGAAAGCAUGAGGGCCCAGGAAAAGAAAGAGCUGGCUGGGGAAGAGGAGGAGCUGGCUGGGGAAGAGAAGGAGCUGGCUGGGGAAGAGGAGGAGCUGGCAGGGGAAGAGGAGAAGCUGGCUGGGGAAGAGGAGGAGCUGGCUGAGGAAGAGGAAGAGCUGGCUGGGGAAGAGGAGGAGCUGGCUGAGGAAGAGGAGGAGCUGGCAGGGGAAGAGGAGAAGCUGGCUGGGGAAGAGGAGGAGCUGGCUGAGGAAGAUAAAGAGCUGGCUGAGGAAGAGGAGGUGGCAGGGGAAGAGGAGGAGCUGGCUGAGGAAGAGGAGGAGCUGGCUGGGGAAGAGGAGGAGCUGGCUGAGGAAGAGGAGGAGCUGGCUGAGGAAGAGGAGGAGCUGGCUGGGGAAGAGGAGGAGCUGGCUGAGGAAGAGGAGGAGGUGGCUGGGGAAGAGGAGGAGGUGGCUGAGGAAAAGGAAGCACUAAUCCUAGACGUAGAGAAACAAGUUGGAGAAAGGAAGAAACACAUCUGGGAAAAGGAGAAACAUGUUGAGGAAGAGGAGAAAGAGGCCUGGGAACUGGGGAAACUGGUUCAGGAUCAUUGGUCUAGAGAAGAGGAAGGACUGUCUGGGAAAGAGAGAGAACAGACAUUAGAAAGGGAGAGGUUGGCAGAGCAAGAGAGUAAAUUAAUCCAAAAAGAGAAAUGGUUUGGCAAAGAGGCCCUUUAUGGGGAGCAGGAGCAACAAGACCAGACAGAGAGGCAGGCUCAAAAAGAGGAGAGCAAACAGUUAGCCUGGGAAAGAAAGAAACUGUACCUAGAAGACAAUGAAAAGUUUGGAGAACUGGAGAAAUUGUCACAAGAAGAAGAGAAAUUAGCUCAAAAAAUGGAGCAAGAAGCUGAGAAAAGAAAACAAUGGGCCAGAGAAAAAAUAAAAUGGGUCUCAGAAGAGGAAAAAAUCACAGAGGAAAUCAAGAAAGGGUCCCCAAAAGGAGAGAAACAGACCAUAGGAAAAGAGAAAAAAGCUAAGAAAAAGAAGAAACAGAUUGAGAAAGAUGAGAAAGCAAUUGAGGAAAAAGAACAAUGGAUUCAGGAAAAACUAGCCUUACAAAAGGAGAAACUGGCCCACGAAGAGAGAGUAUGGAGUCAGAAAGACAAGAAACGGGCCCGGAAAAAGAAGAAAGAGGUAGAGCCAAAAAAACGAGUCUGGAAAAAAGAGAAAUUGUCCUUAGAAGAGAAGGAACAGGCUGGUGAAAUGGAGGAACAGUUCCAGGAAAAAGAGAAAGAGGCCAAGGAAAUAGAGAAAAGGGCAUUGGCAAAGAGACAGGCCCCAAAAGACAGUAAACUGGCCAAGAAAGAGAGUCAUAUUGCUGAGAAAGAAAAGGCAAUGGCCAGGGAAGGAAUUGGCAUAACUGAGAAAAAGAAAAAAAUAACCCAGGAAGAGAAAGAAAUUAUGAAAGAAGAGGGCAAAUUGUCCCAGGAAGACAGGACACUGGCCUAUGACAUUAUGACCAAGGACAGAGACGUUGCCAAGAAGAAAAAGAAAACCAAAGAAGAAAGAAAACAGGCAAUGAGAAAACUGGAUAUGGAAAAAGGGAUUGGUUCUGAAGAGAAAGAGGCUCACUUCAGGGAAGAAAAUAUAAGAAUGAAAGAGAAUCAACUGUUUGGGAUCCUGGCACGAAUAGUUAGAGAAUUGGUUACAGUUCCUUCAGAAGAAAGAGAAAUAACUGAGGGAGAGACAUCAUCCAUUAUAGAAAAGAGUGAAAUUGAUGGCGGCAGGUGGGAAUUUUUUAAAGAACAGAGGGAAUUAAUUAAAGAAGAGAAGGAACAGGCUCAGAAAGAUAGGAAACUAGAAGAUAGACUGGCCACCAACGAGAGAAUGCUAACUGAUAAAGAGAGCUCGGAGGAGGACCAAAAGUUAUUAGAGGAGGUCCAGGAAAAUAUACUAUUCAAUAAAAUCCAGGUACAGACUAUGUUAAAGGAGUUUCAGAAGACAAAUUUGUUAGAAAAAAGGCAGGUAGAGGAGCUUCUGAAGAAAGUUGAGGAGCGUGAACUAGAGAAGACUCAGAUGAAGUGGUUAUUAGAUAAUCUCAGAGGUAUACUAUUUGAGGGCUUAUAUAAGAGCUUGACUGAGAAGGAAACAGAGGAAGGUCUAAUUAAGAAGGGGAAAGAGAAGGAAAUUCUGCCCAAGAAAGAGAAAAGGAAACAUCUGAUUAAGAAAAAGGAAGCAAGUACAAAUGAAGAGGAAUUGGAGGAUAACUUGACUAAGAAGCUAAAAGAAAAGGGUUUGACUCAAAAAAGGAAAAUGGAAAAGAGGUUGACUAAAGAGAAAGAGAGUCUAAUUAAGCAAAAAGAGGGCCCACAAGAGGAAGAGAAGAGCCUUAGUGAAGAUGAGUGGGGGCGCUGGAGUGAGGAGGAGGAAGAGGAGAGCCUGAGUGAGGAGGGAGAGGAGAGUUUGAGUGAGGAGGAGGAAGAGAGCCUGAGUGAGGAGGACAGCUUGAGUGAAGAGGAGGAGAGCCUGAGUGAGGAGGAGGAGAGCCUGAGUGAGGAGGAGGAGGAGAGCUUGAGUGAGGAGGAGAAGGAAAGCCUGAGUGAGGAGGAGGAGAGCCUGAGUGAGGAGGAGGAGAGCUUGAGUGAGGAAGAGGAGAGCUUGAGUGAAGAGGAGGAGGAGGAGGAAAUGGAAGAAAAAAAGAAGGAGGAGGAGAAAAGGCAGAAGGAUGUGGAAAGCCUGAGUGAAGAGAAGGAAAAGGAGAGCAGACUGAUGGAGGCAAUGUUCUCAGAAGAGGAGAGAGUAUUGAAAACAAAGUUCCCAAAGGAAGAGGUGAGAUUAUCCAAGCUGGUGACAGAAGGUGAGGAUCUUGCUGAGGAAAGCGAGGGUACAGCUAAAGGAGAAAUGCAUUUUAAGAAAGAGGGCUUGCUUGAGGUAAGGAAAGACUCCAGACUUAUGGACAAGGCUAUGUGGCCAACAGUUCCGAAGAGCCCCUCCAAAAUACCAUUCCAGGUAACCCUGGAGGAAAAAGAGGGAACACCCCUGAAAGUGUUAGAGGAUCACUUGGAUUCAGAAAACAGACAGGGCCGUCAACUUCUUGGAGUACACCCCGUGACAAGUUCACUGGGAAGAGAAGAGAAUGAACUCUUGGAGAAAGCCAGGGGUAUGUUUUUACAAGCCAUGGAAACAGGCUUAGAGACCCAGGUCCCAGAAGGUCUCCACAGGCCAGAGUUUCAAUUAUCUGAUACUUCCAUGGAACCACACAAACCUAAACACAGACACAAAGGUGAAAGAUGGAAGUGGCUCUUGGGGUAUCAGGAUUCUUUGAUGGGGGAAACUAAGGGUCAGGCUCCAGCUCCAGUCCCAGCCUUUUCACCUGAAAUGCCAGAUAGGAGAUAUCGAAGGCUGGCCUUCUCAGAAGCAAGCUUCUCAGACGAGGAUUGGAUUAACAAUGCCUUACAAAGGUUGGAAGCAGGAAAGCAACUUUCCAGGGACAGUUUUCAUCGACUGAGUCAGAUCCUCAGAGACUUUACUUCAAAGAGAUACUUGAAAUGGAUGCGUAUGUCCAAUCUUAAGGUCAUUGCUAAACAUCUCAGGCAGAACCUAGAGUUAAGUCGCACUGAUACAUUACAACUCUGUAAGGAAGUUUUGAGUCCAGUGCACUUAAAAGAGAUCCCUCCAAUUAGAAGAAAAGAAACACAGAAAUGGUUGGGGCUGUCCUUUGUGCCCAAACCAGUAUUACCAUCAGCCAUCAAGAGGACUCAGACCCCACAGGCUCUCAGCUGGCAUCUCUUAGCUGAGUCCCAUAGGAAGAAGCAGUCACAACAGUUAUCUACUGCUCUCAAGGAGAUAAAGCACCUUUAUCCAGUCACAAGGGAUGUUCCUACAGCGGUUUGUCCCACUGUGGAUAAGAAAUCUCUAGCCUUGGUAUUUGAGAAGUACUUCCCAACCUUGAGGAGGAAGGGUGAGAUUUGGAGAUCUCACCCUUUGGCAAAGGAGGAAGCACUGCCCAUCCCUGCUCCAGUGAUAUCACCAAUUACCAAGAGGAUUCAAGUCCCGAAAGCUAUGAACUGGCAUCUUUUGGAAGAGCCUCACAGGAGUGCGCGGGUACAACGGUUAUCUGAUGCCCUCAAAGAGAUGGAGAUGCAACAUUUUUAUCCUGCCACAAGAGACAUUUUCACAGGUGCCCAUGCCUCUGUGGACAAACAAACUCUAGCACUAAUGUUUCAGAAGGAUCUCGGGGCUUUUAAGGGUAAGGGCAGGCCCCCUAAAUUGCCCAAGUUGGAGAAGAAGGCACAAUCCAUCUCUAAAAAGAAGGAAGAGAUGCCUUUGUGGGAGACGUUUGUGGCACUGUACCAUGUUUUGCGGAUGCUGCAGCAGCGAUAUGCAAAAGACAGUGCUGCUUGGAUGGAACAGUUCUACCAGCUCAUGGACCUGUACCAACUUAAGUCCCCUAGAAUCCAGAGGCUUCUACUAGAGUUACUGCAGACAGAGGAACUUCAACCCCAAGAGACCAUUUACAAAAAUGCCCUGAAGACCAAGGAGCUGGCACAUGGUGAGCGUUUGUUCUACCACCUGUUUUGUGGUCAUUCCCAUGACCCUGCAGGUCCCCUCAAGUUCCAGGAUGUGGUACCCCUCCCUGGGCAGAACAAAGUCCAUACUAUCCAACCUGAGGGCAUUGCCCAGUAUGGUUUCCUACAACUUGCCUGGAAAAGCCUACCGCAAGUCAGUCCUCACCGUAUUGAGAGGCUGCCCAGUGUUCCUACUCCUACUAUGAUUGGGCUUAAUAUUAGGACUUUGGGAUUCUAUGGGAAAAUGAGCCUGGGCCACAGAUUUUAA
ensembl:lincRNA